UACGUAGGGGGCGAGCGUUGUCCGGAAUCAUUGGGCGUAAAGCGCAUGUAGGCGGCCCGGUAAGUCCGCUGUGAAAGUCCAGGGCUCAACCCUGGGAUGCCGGUGGAUACUGUCGGGCUCGAGUCCGGAAGAGGCGAGUGGAAUUCCUGGUGUAGCGGUGAAAUGCGCAGAUAUCAGGAGGAACACCAAUGGCGAAGGCAGCUCGCUGGGACGUGACUGACGCUGAGACGCGAAAGCGUGGGGAGCAAACAGG
rnacentral:rRNA from 1 species